GUGUUGGUCAUGCCUGGAAUGGUCCUUACAGUGUUGAACCAAAUGGGGGUAAAUUGGACAGUCUGGCUAGUUGCCUUUGGGUGCUAGGCUCUCUUGAUCACCCAUGCCUGGUCCACUGCCCUCUGGUUCAGUACUGUCUCAAGGAAGAAACCUACAAGACUAGAUUCUUAGGAUCUUCACCUGAUGGUACUUUCUGAUGCACGAACGCCAAGUACCAAGAGACAGAUACUUGAGGCGGAUGUCCCCAAAGCGAGAGGAUCCAAAUGGUAUUGGCCAUGUAUGGAAUGAUCGUGAGUACUUUCUGAUGCACGAACGCCAAGUACCAAGAGACAGAUAUUUGAGGCGGAUGUCCCCAAAGCGAGAGGAUCCAAAUGGUAUUGGCCAUGUAUGGAAUGAUCGAACGUUCUGCUGUCUGACCACCAACUACCCAAAGAAAGAUGUCUGAGGCAGAUGACCCAAACUUAGAUCACCCGAACGAGGCAGAUGACCCAAACUGAGAUCACCCGAGCCCAAUCGCUCAUGCACGGACUGUCCUUGACUUCGUUCUACCCAAACAGACUCACCAGACACGUUUGCAUGGAAAACAAGGCGUGAAGAACAUUGUUCAUGUAUGCUACAUAUUAUCUGUCUAUGGAAUAGUUACUGAGUUAAAUGAUCAUCCGCUGUCCUGUUAGUUCUGCUCAAGUUGAUGUAUCCAGUUUUUCCUGGUGUCGAUUUUAUCGCAGGGUCCACGAUCAACCAUUGCGUGAGUGGUUGCUAUGACCGGAACAGUCCUGAUGGUGUUCAUCCAGUCCAGAUCAUCGUAAUGCUUUGGAAAACUCUUUCCAAAACAACUUACUCGUAAUUAUAUUUUAGAUGUCACCAAAGUGUUGGAUGUUAAUAGUAUUAUGCUGGAAACUAUAACUUCAUAACUUCAAAAAGUUAAGUAUUCUGAAGCUCAGGCUUCAACUGAAGACACUGCGACGAUAUGUACUCAUGUUAAGGAUCAGAGCCAUUACAAUACGUGAUUGGUAAUAUCUGUCUUAGGAGGUACAUUUAUACCCUUACAUGACUGCUGCGUAAUGUUACAUGUCUGCUGUAGUUUAGGUUAUCAUAUACGAGUGUGUUUUUGAUGCUGUACUUUUCUACUGUAAACCUUCCAGUAGCUAGCACUGCUGUUGCAUUCGUUGAGGGGGCACGGUUCCAGGGGUAUUGUCAGACUAGUCGUUAGUUUAUCUCUGGUUUUACGUGUAGGGCUUCACCAGUCCCCAUGUCAUAGUUGAAUGUUAAUGCUUGAUGAUGCAAAAUAUAUCGUCGGCGGCUCCGA